GAGGGAAACCGAGUCUUAAUUGGGCGUUAAGUUGCAGGGUAUAGACCCGAAACCCGGUGAUCUAGCCAUGGGCAGGUUGAAGGUUGGGUAACACUAACUGGAGGACCGAACCGACUAAUGUUGAAAAAUUAGCGGAUGACCUGUGGCUGGGGGUGAAAGGCCAAUCAAACCGGGAGAUAGCUGGUUCUCCCCGAAAGCUAUUUAGGUAGCGCCUCGUGAAUUCAUCUCCGGGGGUAGAGCACUGUUUCGGCUAGGGGGCCAUCCCGGCUUACCAACCCGAUGCAAACUGCGAAUACCGGAGAAUGUUAUCACGGGAGACACACGGCGGGUGCUAACGUCCGUCGUGAAGAGGGAAACAACCCAGACCGCCAGCUAAGGUCCCAAAGUCAUGGUUAAGUGGGAAACGAUGUGGGAAGGCCCAGACAGCCAGGAUGUUGGCUUAGAAGCAGCCAUCAUUUAAAGAAAGCGUAAUAGCUCACUGGUCGAGUCGGCCUGCGCGGAAGAUGUAACGGGGCUAAACCAU
rnacentral:rRNA from 5 species